CCUACGGGAGGCAGCAGUGGGGAAUAUUGCACAAUGGGGGAAACCCUGAUGCAGCGACGCCGCGUGAGUGAAGAAGUAUCUCGGUACGUAAAGCUCUAUCUGCAGGGAAGAAAAUGACGGUACCUGACUAAGAAGCCCCGGCUAACUACGUGCCAGCAGCAGCGGUAAUACGCAGGGGGCAAGCGUUAUCCGGAUUUACUGGGUGUAAAGGGAGCGGAGACGGCAGCACAAGUCCGGAGGGAAAUCCCCGGGCUUAACCCCGGAACUGCUUUGGAAACUGUGCGGCUGGAGUGCAGGAGGGGUAAGCGGAAUUCGUGGUGUAGCGGUGAAAUGCGUAGAUAUUAGGAGGAACACCGGUGGCGAAGGCGGCUUGCUGGACUGUAACUGACGUUGAGGCUCGAAGGCGUGGGGAGCAAACAGGAUUAGAUACCCUUGUAGUC
rnacentral:rRNA from 1 species